GACCAGCUGGAUAAGGGGACUGAGGCUUCAGUGUGUUAGUAGAACAGGUUAGUGAACUCAGGACCAGGACCAGCUGGAUGAGGGGACUGAGGCUUCAGUGUGUUAGUAGAACAGGUUAGUGAACUCAGGACCAGCUGGAUGAGGGGACUGAGGCUUCAGUGUGUUAGUAGAACAGGUUAGUGAACUCAGGACCAGCUGGAUGAGGGGACUGAGGCUUCAGUGUGUUAGUAGAACAGGUUAGUGAACUCAGCCCCAGGACCAGCUGGAUGAGGGGACUGAGGCUUCAGUGUGUUAGUAGAACAGGUUAGUGAACUCAGCCCCAGGACCAGCUGGAUAAGGGGACUGAGGCUUCAGUGUGUUAGUAGAACAGGUUAGUGAACUCAGCCCCAGGACCAGCUGGAUGAGGGGACUGAGGCUUCAGUGUGUUAGUAGAACAGGUUAGUGAACUCAGCCCCAGGACCAGCUGGAUGAGGGGACUGAGGCUUCAGUGUGUUAGUAGAACAGGUUAGUGAACUCAGGACCAGCUGGAUGAGGGGACUGAGGCUUCAGUGUGUUAGUAGAACAGGUUAGUGAACUCAGGACCAGCUGGAUAAGGGGACUGAGGCUUCAGUGUGUUAGUAGAACAGGUUAGUGAACUCAGGACCAGGACCAGCUGGAUGAGGGGACUGAGGCUUCAGUGUGUUAGUAGAACAGGUUAGUGAACUCAGCCCCAGGACCAGCUGGAUGAGGGGACUGAGGCUUCAGUGUGUUAGUAGAACAGGUUAGUGAACUCAGGACCAGCUGGAUGAGGGGACUGAGGCUUCAGUGUGUUAGUAGAACAGGUUAGUGAACUCAGGACCAGGACCAGCUGGAUGAGGGGACUGAGGCUUCAGUGUGUUAGUAGAACAGGUUAGUGAACUCAGGACCAGCUGGAUAAGGGGACUGAGGCUUCAGUGUGUUAGUAGAACAGGUUAGUGAACUCAGCCCCAGGACCAGUUGGAUGAGGGGACUGAGGCUUCAGUGUGUUAGUAGAACAGGUUAGUGAACUCAGGACCAGCUGGAUAAGGGGACUGAGGCUUCAGUGUGUUAGUAGAACAGGUUAGUGAACUCAGGACCAGGACCAGCUGGAUGAGGGGACUGAGGCUUCAGUGUGUUAGUAGAACAGGUUAGUGAACUCAGCCCCAGGACCAGCUGGAU